GACACUAGAGAUAAAAGGAAGGCAGAUUUUGCUUGGUACACUUUACUGCUAGGAAGGAGAGGGUUGUUUUUUUGCUGCAGCUCUUUCCUUGUGAAAUAAGUGGCCAGUGGUUAUAGAUUUUGACCUGCAGAGAAAGGCAUAGAUACUCAAGCCUUAUACUUUCCUAGGUAUUAAUACCAGAAUAGACCAUGAGGGUUAUUGAGUGGGACUUUAUGUGCUACAGGUAUUAGUUUUUGUGAGAUGAUUCCUGCCACUUAGCCCAGGGGCUUAUGAAUAAGCAGUGUAAGUUUUUUAAGACCAGUUGACAUUACUCUCUGUGACUGCAAGACCCAUGAGGAUAUGUUACAUGUGUUUCCUGUUACUUCUCCUAGGGAUCCUGACUAGGAUGAAGGGAAGCCCACCUGUCUCCAUUAGAUGUCCUGCAGCCUACAGAGCAAUGCAGAUCUCAGGCUCAGCAUGCUCACACAAGAAGGUUUGGGCUUCUGCUCCAGUAUGAGAUAAUAACAGAGUCAGAGGAAAAUAUGUCAUCCUGUGAUCUGAUUUUCAUCUUGAAGGCUUCGCUUGGAUUUUGGAAAAAAAGUGACAUUUUUCCAGUGACAUUUAAUCCACCCUCAUGCACACUGUUUUUUGUCUUUCCUGACUGAGUUCUGUUCAGGCAGAAACUUUUCUCAGCUACAAAUAGCUGCAUUUAUUACAGGCGUCUGUGUUUCCUUUAGGAUGCAUUGGAAAAUCCAUUACAAAUAUAUAAUAGGACAGAGUCCAAACUUU